rnacentral:rRNA from 1 species
UGCCAGCCGCCGCGGUAAUACGAAGGGGGCGAGCGUUGUUCGGAAUCACUGGGCUUAAAGCGUACGUAGGCGGACUUGCAAGUCAGGAGUGAAAUCCCAGGGCUCAACCCUGGAACUGCUCUUGAAACUGCAAGUCUGGAAUCCGAUAGAGGUUAGGAGAAUUCCGAGUGUAGAGGUGAAAUUCGCAGAUAUUCGGAGGAAUACCAGUGGCGUAGGCGCCUAACUGGGUCGGUAUUGACGCUGAGGUACGAAAGCGUGGGGAGCAAACAGGAUUAGAUA